rfam:Candida auris strain 6684 Scaffold29, whole genome shotgun sequence.
GGGAUUAUAGAUUAAUAGGUAAAUCAUUCGCUUUGCAAGCGAACGAUAUCAGUUCGAUUCUGAUUAAUUCCA